rnacentral:misc_RNA from 1 species
CAACUUUAAGAACUCUGGAGUACGAUUGGGUAAGGGAAAAAGAAAAUUCUCCAAAAUUUCUUCAUAAAUUACUCAAACCCAGUUUCAGUCAACCAAGGAUAUACUCCAAAUCAUAUUAUAAAACCCGAUUUUAUCAUCCAGAAGAAAUCGCUACAAAUGGAAGCGAAGUUUCUCAUAUACGGAACCCAGAAAGCAUCAAAAGCUCAAUACAGUCACUUUCAG